ensembl:misc_RNA
UCAACUUAAAAAAAAUUUCUCUCUAAAGAAGUAUAUCGGAAAUAUCCUGAUGUGGGGAUAUUUUUAAAAAAUAAAAUCAAAACGGCUUCUCUUAAAAGAAGUAAGGCUCUUAAUUCAAAUGUACGGAAUAGCGGCUAGUGUAGGUCACAAUGCUGGCAUCUAUAGAUAUUGGGAUUUGAAUUUUACCAUUGACCUUCUGU